rnacentral:rRNA from 1 species
UACGUAGGGUGCAAGCGUUGUCCGGAAUUAUUGGGCGUAAAGAGCUCGUAGGCGGUUUGUCACGUCGGCUGUGAAAGCCCGGAGCUCAACUCCGGGUCUGCAGUCGAUACGGGCAGACUUGAGUGUUGCAGGGGGAGACUGGAAUUCCUGGUGUAGCGGUGAAAUGCGCAGAUAUCAGGAGGAACACCGGUGGCGAAGGCGGGUCUCUGGGCAACAACUGACGCUGAGGAGCGAAAGCGUGGGGGAGCGAACAGG